CUACGGGGCGCUGCAGUGAGGAAUAUUGCACAAUGGGGGGAACCCUGAUGCAGCAACGCCGCGCGGAGGAUGACGCAUUUCGGUGUGUAAACUCCUUUUAUAUGUCAAGAAAAUGACGGUAGCAUAUGAAUAAGCACCGGCUAACUCCGUGCCAGCAGCCGCGGUAAUACGGAGGGUGCAAGCGUUACUCGGAAUCACUGGGCGUAAAGGACGCGUAGGCGGGUUGGAAAGUCAGGUGUGAAAUCCUACAGCUUAACUGUAGAACUGCACUUGAAACUUCUAAUCUAGAGUAUGGGAGGGGGAGAUGGAAUUAGUGGUGUAGGGGUAAAAUCCGUAGAUAUCACUAGGAAUACCUAAAGCGAAGGCGAUCUCCUGGAACAUUACUGACGCUAAGGCGUGAAAGCGUGGGGGGCAAACAGGAUUAGAUACCCGUGUAGUC
rnacentral:rRNA from 1 species